GGGAGUGGAUGGGGCCCGGUGGCUUCCACAGUCUUCAAAAUUGCUGGGGCGCUAAAACGCUCGGAGGGUUCGACUCCUUCCCAUUCCCGCCA
rnacentral:tRNA from 1 species